UGUAGGAGCGAGCUUGCUCGCGAUAGCGGUAUGACAGUCGACAUCGAAGUCGCCUGUUCCACCGUCAUCGCGAGCAAGCUCGCUCCCACA
rnacentral:misc_RNA from 1 species